GCACAAGCGGUGGAGCAUGUUGGUUUAAUUCGAAGCAACGACGAAGAACCUUACCAGGUUCUUGACAUCCCGAUGCUUAUUUCUAGAGAUAGAAAGUUACUUCGGUACAUCGGUGACAGGUGGUGCAUGGUUGUCGUCAGCUCGUGUCGUGAGAUGUUGGGUUAAGUCCCGCAACGAGCGCAACCCCUAUUGUUAGUUGCCAUCAUUCAGUUGGGCACUCUAGCGAGACUGCCGGUAAUAAACCGGAGGAAGGUGGGGAUGACGUCAAAUCAUCAUGCCCCUUAUGACCUGGGCUACACACGUGCUACAAUGGUUGGUACAACGAGUUGCGAGUCGGUGACGGCGAGCUAAUCUCCUAAAGCCAAUCUCAGUUCGGAUUGUAGGCUGCAACUCGCCUACAUGAAGUCGGAAUCGCUAGUAAUCGCGGAUCAGCACGCCGCGGUGAAUACGUUCCCGGGCCUU
rnacentral:rRNA from 1 species